rnacentral:tRNA from 1 species
GGGGUAGAGGCUCUACGGUCUGAGCGGCAGUCUGUAAAACUGGGGUGGUUUAAUUCCCACAAGUGGGUUCAACUCCCACCUGCCCCA